UACGUAGGGUGCGAGCGUUAAUCGGAAUUACUGGGCGUAAAGCGUGCGCAGGCGGUUGUGCAAGACAGAUGUGAAAUCCCCGGGCUUAACCUGGGAAUUGCAUUUGUGACUGCACGGCUAGAGUGUGUCAGAGGGGGGUAGAAUUCCACGUGUAGCAGUGAAAUGCGUAGAUAUGCGGAGGAACACCGAUGGCGAAGGCAGCCUCCUGGGAUAACACUGACGCUCAUGCACGAAAGCGUGGGGAGCAAACAGG
rnacentral:rRNA from 1 species